rnacentral:rRNA from 1 species
CUUGCCUGCCCAGUGAUCCUCUUUUAAACGGCCGCGGUAUCCUAACCGUGCAAAGGUAGCAUAAUCACUUGUCCCCUAAAUAGGGACUGGAAUGAACGGCUAAAUGAGGACUUAGCUGUCUCUUGCACUUUACUAAUGAAACUGAUCCCUUAGUCCAAAAGCUAAGAUCCCACCACAAGACGAGAAGACCCUGUGGAGCUUAAAACCAAACUCAUAACCAUGAACCCCUGGUUUUUAGUUGGGGCGACUUCGGAGCACAAAAAACCCUCCGACACGGAAUUCAACCUGAUUAGAUCAACACAUCAACCAAUUCACGACCCAGCAGUUUAUCUUAACUGCCUGAUCAAUGAACCAAGUUACCCCAGGGAUAACAGCGCCAUCCUCUUUUAGAGUUCCUAUCGACAGGAGGGUUUACGACCUCGAUGUUGGAUCAAGACCCCCUAAUAGUGCACCCGCUAUUGAAGGUUCGUUUGUUCAACGAUUAAAGUCUUACGUGAUCUGAGUUCAGACCGGA